AUACUCCUCAUCUUGGACAUAUCGCUAAAAUCGGAUUAAUCGUUGCUGUUGUCGCUUUAACCGAGGCCAUUGCGGUGGGAAGGUCGUUCGCGGGAAUAAAAGGGUAUAGACUCGAUGGAAACAAAGAAAUGGUGGCCAUUGGAUUUAUGAAUGUUCUUGGUUCCUUAACAUCUUGUUAUGCUGCUACUGGUUCUUUCUCUCGGACGGCGGUGAACUUCGCUGCCGGGUGUGA